UUCUCGAUUGUUCUGGUCCAUC
rnacentral:miRNA from 2 species